GAGAAAGUGUUGUGUCCAUAAGGUUUACAAGGAGGGGAUCAUCAAAUAAAUGCAGGAGUUCAUGGUACUCCGUAAUAAUAGCAGAUUGACAACAAGUUAUUAGCGUCAGGCUGUGUGGGUUUGUAUUCCAGCGAAGUUCUCACAGCCUCAACCUCCUCCCUUUGCUUCAAUCGCUGACAUGUUUCUGUAGAACAAUAGAAGUGUGUCCUCUGACUAGUACUCCCAUUAGUG